CCAUCCUGUAGCCAUGGACGGCACUCAUAGCAUGUGCGAAGUCUGCUCCUUCCCCGCAUGGCUAGUUAGCACUUCUCCCGCCCAUGGAAGCAGCAGGCACCCUCCGCCGAUGACCUGGACCCCAUGCCCAAGCUGACGAGGAGGACAUCGUCGAGUCUGACGUCCACCUCGACCAUGAUGACGCCCCGCACAAGUUCAACUACUUGGUCGGUUGCCACUACUCUCUGCCUGAUGACCGGUUAUGGGCGAUCGGCAGAACAAGUGAGUUGACACUAGGUUACUUCCCUGUAAAAAACGAUCCCGCCGGAGGGCGGAGGCUGUCCUGGAAGGAGGCCACACAUGAGUUAUGAGGACCAUAUGCCUAGGUGGAAGCAGUCUUGAGAACCUUGGCCAAAACAAGGAAGUUUGAGAAGGCUAGUGGUAUGAGGAACAACCAUGGCUUCAAGGUUUAACUCAUGUAUGUGUACCAUCCAUGAUAUGCACUUACA